UGGAGGGCAAGUCCGGUGCCAGCAGCCGCGGUAAUUCCAGCUCCAAUAGCGUAUAUUAAAGUUGUUGCAGUUAAAAAGCUCGUAGUUGAAUUUCGGGAUCAAUCUAUCGGUCGUGCAAUAGUACGUACUGAUUUUAUUGAUUCCUCCCUUCUGAUGAACUAUGAUGUCAUUAAUUUGGUGUCAUAGGGAAUCAGGACUGUUACUUUGAAAAAAUUAGAGUGUUUAAAGCAGGCUAACGCUUGAAUACAUUAGCAUGGAAUAAUGAAAUAGGACGUUCGAUCUUAUUUUGUUGGUUUCUAAGAUUGACGUAAUGAUUAAUAGGGAUAGUUGGGGGCAUUAGUAUUCAAUUGUCAGAGGUGAAAUUCUUGGAUUUAUUGAAGACUAACUACUGCGAAAGCAUUUGCCAAGGAUGUUUUCAUUAAUCAAGAACGAAAGUUAGGGGAUCGAAGACGAUCAGAUACCGUCGUAGUCUUAACCAUAAACUAUGCCGACUAGGGAUCGGAUGAUGUUAAUUUUUUAAUGACUCAUUCGGCGCCUUACGGGAAACCAAAGUGUUUGGGUUC
rnacentral:rRNA from 1 species